rnacentral:lncRNA from 1 species
CCUGUCGUCGCCCCCGCGCCUGGGAUGCGGCCUCUCGGGUCGUAGUCACCCUCGCCCGCGCCUCCGCCCACCACCGCCCCGUUCCCGGUCGCUGCCGCCACCGCCGGGGCUCAUGCGGGACCCGCGCCGCCUUCUCCGGAAGCCGGGCCGGGACACGGCGCGCCUGGGCCGCCGAGAACCCGACGCUCGUCGCCAGCCGCCGCUGUCGGUGCGCGCCGAGGGGUUGCGGAGCCGCCUGGCAGGGGCUGCAGGCCGCGAGCGACGCCGAGGAGGCGCUGAGGGUCGGCGGAGGCGAAGCUAAGCGGGCAGCGGGCGGCUGCGCAGCGGCGGGGCGCACGAGCGAGGGCUGGGUGGUGCGUCGCGGUCUAGGCGGAGAGGGAGCGGGCCCUGUCGUCUCCCAGAGUCACCCCGAUCCCAGCGCCACCAUCUUGGGAGGAACACUGAUCUCGCGACCGCGGCGCCAAACGGGAGGACGGGCUGGGCGGGCCGAGUAUCCCGGCAGGCAGCGCGCGCCGCCCGGCCGGGCGAGGGCUUCAAGCCGAGACGCGAGGAGUCGGGGCCGGACGGAACGCACGCGGAGGGCGCCGCGCUCGGCCCCACCCCCGGCCAGCUCGCCCCCCUCCGGCUUCCCGUCGCCCCCGGCGCAGGGGCGGCUGGGAAGGGGAGAUGAGGGCUCGCGGCUCGGCCGAACCCACCGGGGCCGGCCGCCAUCUUAGGACUGGGCAAAGGGGUUAACACUCACCUCACUCUGUGCUGUCGGUGGCCGAGCAGAAAGAACCAGAACUCUGCCAGGCCUUGAGAAGCAAUAAAAGAUCGACAAUCUCUAUCCCUGCUCUCAAGAAAUCAGUUCAAAAGGAAGUAAAAGUUGUGCUCUAAAAGGAGUGGAGCGAAGCCUGAUGGUGGCAUGCACCUGUAGUGCAAACUGUUCAGGAAGAUGGAUCAAGAGAUCACUUGAGCCCGGUUCAAGACUUCAAGGCCAGCCUAGGCAACAUAGCAAGGCCCUAUCUCAAG